GGGGAGUAUUGCACAAUGGGCGCAAGCCUGAUGCAGCGACGCCGCGUGGGGGAUGACGGCCUUCGGGUUGUAAACUCCUUUCGCUAGGGACGAAGCUUUUUGUGACGGUACCUAGAUAAGAAGCACCGGCUAACUACGUGCCAGCAGCCGCGGUAAUACGUAGGGUGCGAGCGUUGUCCGGAAUUACUGGGCGUAAAGGGCUCGUAGGUGGUUUGUCGCGUCGUCUGUGAAAUUCCGGGGCUUAACUCCGGGCGUGCAGGCGAUACGGGCAUAACUUGAGUACUGUAGGGGUAACUGGAAUUCCUGGUGUAGCGGUGAAAUGCGCAGAUAUCAGGAGGAACACCGAUGGCGAAGGCAGGUUACUGGGCAGUUACUGACGCUGAGGAGCGAAAGCAUGGGUAGCGAACAGGAUUAGAUACCCUGGUAGUCCAUGCCGUAAACGGUGGGCGCUAGGUGUGAGGGUCUUUUCACGACUUUCGUGCCGUAGCUAACGCAUUAAGCGCCCCGCCUGGGGAGUACGGCCGCAAGGCUA
rnacentral:rRNA from 1 species